AGAGUUUGAUCAUGGCUCAGGAUGAACGCUAGCUACAGGCUUAACACAUGCAAGUCGAGGGGAAACGACAUCGAAAGCUUGCUUUUGAUGGGCGUCGACCGGCGCACGGGUGAGUAACACGUAUCCAACCUGCCCACCACUUGGGGAUAACCUUGCGAAAGUAAGACUAAUACCCAAUGAUAUCUCUAGAAGACAUCUGAAAGAGAUUAAAGAUUUAUCGGUGAUGGAUGGGGAUGCGUCUGAUUAGCUUGUUGGCGGGGUAACGGCCACAAGGCGACGAUCAGUAGGGGUUCUGAGAGGAAGGUCCCCCANAUUGGAACUGAGACACGGUCCAAAUCCUACGGGAGGCA
rnacentral:rRNA from 1 species